CCUACGGGUGGCAGCAGUGGGGAAUAUUGGACAAUGGGCGAAAGCCUGAUCCAGCCAUGCCGCGUGUGUGAAGAAGGCCUUCGGGUUGUAAAGCACUUUCAGUGGGGAAGAAAGCCUUGGGGCUAAUACCCUCGAGGAAGGACAUCACCCACAGAAGAAGCACCGGCUAACUCCGUGCCAGCAGCCGCGGUAAUACGGAGGGUGCGAGCGUUAAUCGGAAUUACUGGGCGUAAAGCGCGCGUAGGCGGUCUGAUAAGCCGGUUGUGAAAGCCCCGGGCUCAACCUGGGAACGGCAUCCGGAACUGUCAGGCUAGAGUGCAGGAGAGGAAGGUAGAAUUCCCGGUGUAGCGGUGAAAUGCGUAGAGAUCGGGAGGAAUACCAGUGGCGAAGGCGGCCUUCUGGACUGACACUGACGCUGAGGUGCGAAAGCGUGGGUAGCAAACAGGAUUAGAUCCCCCGGUAGU
rnacentral:rRNA from 1 species